rnacentral:rRNA from 1 species
CAAAUCUAUUCUCCUAUCUAACUUACUCCUAAAUCAUUACAAUUCUAAACUCGUGAUCUACCCUUUAUUAUCAUUCACUGCAAAGUUAAUCCCAACUUAUCUCUCAGUCUAUCACCCUAGUACCUUUUGCAUCAUGGCUUAGCAAGAUCCAUAGAAAUCCUUUAACCCCGAAACUAGACGAGCUAAUCCCUUUUUGUUAAGAACCCAAAUCUUAUUAUUUCAUCAAUAUAUUAAAAAAAGGCCUUAGAGGCUACAUACCUACCGCGUCUAGUAAUAGCUGGUUGCCUCCUUAAUUUAUUUAAGUAAAAUUAUCUACUUUUAGAUAAACUACUCUUACUGGGAUAAGCCAGUAAGUUCAAUCUAUUUACUACUAAAGACCACCCUCUUUAUAGGCUUUAAAUCAGCCAAUAAUUCUAAAAUUCGUCCUAGAAUAUUUCCUAUCCCCCCCUUAAAAUUCUAAUUUAUAAUGCUGUUUCCUGGAAGCAAUUUUGUUUAACCUAAAAUCAUAAUAUAAAAUGCUAAGAUUAGUAUUAUUUUACUCUACCUAACCCCAACUAAACCAUUUCCUAUUUAAUUAUCCCUAUAUAACAGUAAUAAACUCUGCAAUCCCUGAUUUCGACUGUUUACCAAAAACAUUGCUUUUAGUCUCCUUAUUAAAAGUACAUCCUGCCCAGUGACUCUUAUUUCAACGGCCGCGGUAUCCUAACCGUGCAAAGGUAGCAUAAUCACUUGCCUUUUAAUGGAAGGCUGGAAUGAACGGAUAAACGCAACUCAAACUCUAUCACUGUUAACCCUAAAACUUAGACUCUAGGUGAAGAUACCUAGAUCACAAUGAAAGACAAGAAGACCCUAUAGAGUUUUAGUCUAAUAUAUUCUCCCCACUCCCCUAGACUUUGGUUGGGGCGACCUAGGAUUUAUACCCACAUCCUUCUUACCCUAAGAUCUAUCCAUCCUUUAAAUGAUCCUACCACAAGACAUUAAAACAAACUACCUUAGGGAUAACAGGCUUAUCUUCCUAAAAAGUCCAAAUUGACAGGAAGGUCUGGCACCUCGAUGUUGGCUUAGAGUAACCUUAUAAUGCAAAAGUUAUAAUAGGUCGGUUUGUUCAACCGUUAAACCUCUACAUGAGCUGAGUUCAGACCGGCGUAAGCCAGGUUAGAUUCUAUCUUCAUUUCACUAAAUUGAGGGUGUUAGUACGAAAGGACCACACAUCUCUAAUUUUAUUAACUAAACGACACAAUCUAAUACACUAUCCUACUAAAAUUCUUCUAAAUACACAAAUUUGUAAAUAAACCUUAUAUU